rnacentral:rRNA from 1 species
AUUGAACGCUGGCGGCAUGCCUUACACAUGCAGGUCGAACGGUAACAGGUCUUCGGAUGCUGACGAGUGGCGAACGGGUGAGUAAUACAUCGGAACGUGCCCGAUCGUGGGGGAUAACGGAGCGAAAGCUUUGCUAAUACCGCAUACGAUCUACGGGUGAAAGCAGGGGACCGCAAGGCCUUGCGCGGACGGAGCGGCCGAUGGCAGAUUAGGUAGUUGGUGGGAUAAAAGCUUACCAAGCCGACGAUCUGUAGCUGGUCUGAGAGGACGACCAGCCACACUGGGACUGAGACACGGCCCAGACUCCUACGGGAGGCAGCAGUGGGGAAUUUUGGACAAUGGGCGCAAGCCUGAUCCAGCCAUGCCGCGUGCAGGAUGAAGGCCUUCGGGUUGUAAACUGCUUUUGUACGGAACGAAAAGACUCUGGUUAAUACCUGGGGUUCAUGACGGUACCGUAAGAAUAAGCACCGGCUAACUACGUGCCAGCCGCCGCGGUAAAAC